rnacentral:tRNA from 1 species
GCUUGGGUGGCUCAGUUGGUUGAGCAUCUGACUUCGGCUUAGGUCAUGAUCUCGCAUUUUGUGAGUUCAAGCCCCACCAUCAGGCU